rnacentral:sRNA from 2 species
CCGCCCGUCGCACCAUGGGAGCUGGUAAUACCCAAAGUCGGUUAGCUAACCUCGGAGGCGACCGCCUAAGGUAGGACUGGUGACUGGGGUGAAGUCGUAACAAGGUAUCCCUACGAGAACGUGGGGAUGGAUCACCUCCUUUCAUACGGAGUACAUAAAUGUUAUGGAAAAAUUAUUUGUGUCCAGUUUUGAGAGACCUAUCUCUCAAUUUGUUCUUUGAAAACUGAAUAUCGACAUUGAAAAAUUAAAUCUAUUAAUAUUUCAAAGUUUAGAUCAACCUAUAGAAUAUAUCAUACAAUAGACAAACAAUAGGUCUUAUACUACUAUUAAACAAGAUAAGAGUUUUUGGUGGAUGCCUUGGGUCUGGAAGUCGAUGAAGGACGUGAUUACCUGCGAUAAGCCUCGGUUAGCUGGAAAUGAGCUGUGAUCCGGGGAUUUCCGAAUGGGGAAACCUAAUUGAGCUAAUCCUCAAUUAUCAUAUCGAUGAAUACAUAGUCGAAUGAAGAGACACGCUGUGAAUUGAAACAUCUCAGUAGCAGCAGGAAGAGAAAAUAAAGAAUGAUUCCCUCAGUAGUGGCGAGCGAACGGGGAAGAGCCCAAACCAACAUUCGUUGUUGGGGUUAUAGGACUACAUUUUAGAGUUACAAAAUUUACAUAUAGCAGAAUAAGUUGGAAUGCUUAAACAUAGAGGGUGAAAUUCCCGUAAGCGAAAUGUGUAGAUCUCUUUGUAGUAUCCUGAGUAGGGCGGGGCACGUGAAACCCUGUCUGAAUUUGCCGGGACCACCCGGUAAGGCUAAAUACUAACCAGACACCGAUAGUGAACUA